rnacentral:rRNA from 1 species
CUACUUGGAUACUGUGGCAAUUCUAGAGCUAAUACAUGCACGACCUCUCCGACCCUUGAGGAAAGAGCGCAUUUAUUAGACCAAAACCAAUCGAGUACUUCGGUGCUUGUGUUUUGGUGACUCUGAAUAACUUAGUUGAUCGCACAGUCUUAGUACUGGCGACGUAUCUUUCAAAUGUCUGCCUUAUCAACUUUCGAUGGUAGGUUAUACGCCUACCAUGGUUAUAACGGGUAACGGAGAAUUAGGGUUCGACUCCGGAGAGGGAGCCUGAGAAACGGCUACCACAUCCAAGGAAGGCAGCAGGCGCGCAAAUUACCCAAUCUCAGAACGAGGAGGUAGUGACGAAAAAUAACAAAACAGUCCACUCUGUGGUCUGUUAUCGGAAUGGGUACAAUUUAAAUCUUUUAACGAGGAUCUAUUAGAGGGCAAGUCUGGUGCCAGCAGCCGCGGUAAUUCCAGCUCUAAUAGCGUAUAUUAAAGUUGUUGUGGUUAAAACGCCCGUAGUUGGUUCUUCGGUCUUGAAGCUCGGUAGCUCGUAUGGGCUUAACUGAGUCUUCCGGCCUAUAUUUCUUGUUUUCUCCCGAUGCUCUUUAUUGAGUGUCUCGAGAUACUAGAACGUUUACUUUGAAAAAAUUAGAGUGCUAAAAGCAGGCUAUACGC